ACACUGCUGACGAGCGCCAAACAGGACGAAACAGCUGUCCAGUGC
rnacentral:hammerhead_ribozyme from 1 species